UUUCAAUCCACUUUGUUAAGGAAUAUGGAGAAGUAAAACCCUUGAUGAUUACACACUCUAUUAGCAGUGACAGUGUGAGCUCACCCCGUUUGCCAUCUUCCCGGGAGAGCCCCCUACUUGGAGGUUUAUAGCUUGUGUACCAGGCAUGGAUAACAAUGGAAGUCGACCUGUGACUCUGUAAAGCCUCCUCUAAGCCUGCACCAGUGACCAAGCGAAGCGCUGUCGGAUAUGGACUCGCAGACUCCAAGAGCAUCACCGAAGUCACACUCUGGAAUCAAGGCUUUGUGAGAAAGAGAAAGGGAACAGGCUGCAGCAAAGGAUCUUAGGGUUGGGCUAAUGAAGAGAUGGCAUGGGAGAGAGAAAAAUUUAGUAGUCGGGGAAAUGGGAGAAAAGCUAAUGAGUUCAGGAAACAAAAAGGUGGAGCCCCGAGUCCAUGCUCCAGGAAACAGAACGAGGAACUAGUAAUCCAUUGCUGUGGAAAUGUUGAUUUCAUAAAAGUGAUUUCCACACUGUACAGCUCGGUGAAUUGUCCUUUCUGCCAACACCAGAAUUAGGUAAAAAAGGUGUUCAAAAUAAGCCAGACACACAUUGACCAAAAGGAACCCUGAAGAUGUUUGGCCUCGCGAUGCUUUUGGCAGCGCUGCCUGCAGAGCAAUGGAGAGGUGGAUGGACAGGGAGGAAAAUGAGUCUCACUUAGAGUGUGGACAAGAUCAGAGCUUCUACCCCAGACACCGGGAGUAAUCAGGCAUCCUUACAUGGGUUUCCGGGGUAUCUGAACACCAUGAAAAUAUUUACUGAACUUUUACUGAAAACAUUUUCUGUAGCUAUUUCAUUGAUUCUCCUAAACCCUCACAGGCAUUCAGGGUAUUUGGAAUACACUAGGGUCCAGAAGUAGCAGAGCCUUUUUCUGCUGUAAAAUUCUAUAAAGCCAUAUAUCUGAGAACAAGAAAUUUAAUUGCUCUAUUUUUAAACUCUAUGUGUGUGCCAUGGAAAGGACUCCAAAUCUCACGGACUCUGCAUUUUAAUGUGACCACAUUCCUAGGACAGGAGAAUGUUCAAAGGCC
rnacentral:lncRNA from 1 species